GGCCGCAGAUCAGAAGUAGAGCACCUGCCUUGCAUGCAGAAGGUCCCAGGUUCAAUCCCCGGCAGGGGAGAGCCA